ensembl:lncRNA
UCCUCAUCAUUGCAGACCAUGAAUCAUCCUCAUCAUUGCAGACCAUGAAUCAUCCUCAUCAUUGCAGACCAUGAAUCAUCCUCAUCAUUGCAGACCAUAAAUCAUCCUCAUCAUUGCAGACCAUAAAUCAUCCUCAUCAUUGCAGACCAUAAAUCAUCCUCAUCAUUGCAGACCAUAAAUCAUCCUCAUCAUUGCAGACCAUAAAUCAUCCUCAUCACUGCAGACCAUAAAUCAUCCUCAUCAUUGCAGACCAUAAAUCAUCCUCAUCACUGCAGACCAUGAAUCAUCCUCAUCAUUGCAGACCAUAAAUCAUCCUCAUCACUGCAGACCAUGAAUCAUCCUCAUCAUUGCAGACCAUAAAUCAUCCUCAUCAUUGCAGACCAUAAAUCAUCCUCAUCAUUGCAGACCAUAAAUCAUCCUCAUUGCAGACCAUAAAUCAUCCUCAUUGCAGACCAUAAAUCAUCCUCAUUGCAGACCAUAAAUCAUCCUCAUUGCAGUUGGACAUAUAAUAUGGUAAGACAUUGCAUAAAGUCAUGGCUCACAACCUCACAGGCUCAACCUACCGAGACACCACACCAGGUAGGACAAUAGAACCAUAAGGAAAUGACUUGCUAUAUAAACAGGUGGAAUGACAAGGGUUCUCUCACAGCUAGCAAAUGAAGAAGCCAGCCACCCCCCCAAAAUGAGGAAAUCCUGCUGCUGCUGCGGCAGGGUAGCCUAGUGGUUAGAGCGUUGGACUAGUAACCGGAAGGUUGCAAGUUCAAACCCCGAGCUGACAAGGUACAAAUCUGUCGUUCUGCCCUUGAACAGGCAGUUAACCCACUGUUGCUAGGCCGUCAUUGAAAAUAAGAAUUGGUUCUUAACUGACUUGCCUAGUUAAAUAAAGGUAAAAUAAAAAUAAAUAAAAAAUAAAGAUAACCUUCCAAAAAAGACACUUCAGACUUUUAGAAAAGUAAAAAAAUAAUAUUUUAAAACCCAUCGUCCACAUUCACUUUGUUUCGCUACCAAACAAACUAAAAAUCCUACUAUUCCGAUGUAGUUUAGCUCAACCCAGUUGGUUCAACUCCACAAGGGGAAAUGGAUGGUUCCACAGAACAAGCUGCUACCAGACUCCGAUGAGAAUAUAACCAUUGGACAUAUAUGUCUCUUCCCUCACACAACUGCAGUCAGUGGUCACACUACCAGACGUUUGGGAUCCAUAAGCUCCACUCAACCCAUAGACACUGAUCUGAGUUCAGCUAUAACUGAACCCCCCCUCCCCCAUCCAUCCAAUUGAUAUUCAAGGUUAUGAUUGCAGGUAAGCUGAUUCUAGAUCUGUGUUUAAGGGCAUAACAUCAAACAAUCUUCAGUCAGAGGAAGAAAAUAGGUUUCCUUAAUAUCAGGAAUUACACCGUAAACUUCCUCAAGAAACAAAAAUCCCAGAAAUGUCACAUUCUCUCUGAUAUUCUCUAAAAAAAUUUAAAAAAAAAAAGAGGUAUGAAAUGAUGCUGUGAAUUUGCUUGUUUCACUUUAACAAUCCUUUGCGUCAUACCUUCCACCUCCAGUAUUCAUCUUUUCAAUAGGAGCAUUGCACUGUGGGGUGGGGUUGGGUGCAUUAUUGAAUUAAAACAUGUUUUUCGAAGUGCAGAACUUCAAAAGUGCCUAACAGGAAGUGGCAAAACGACGUAAUAAAAAACAUAGUGCAUCGGAAAACCAAAACCUGUAGAAAUAGAACACAAAAAAAGAAAACCCAAGUUCAUUCCAAAUAAAAAAAACUGGAUUAUGGAAGUUGUUUUUCCCUGUUGUGUAACACUCGUCCGUGUGUACAGUGUACCGUCUUCUGGUGUUGUAUGCAUGAAGUGUGUGUGCAAAUACAUCUCUUCACUAGAAUUUCCGCGGUUAGGUUCGUCACGGUCUAAAUUAAAAGACGUAUCCCUUGCCAAACCCUGGUUGUCGUUAGAUCUACGUUUUCAUUUCAAAUGACACGCUGUCCGAUAUAGAGGUUCUCUAUGUGGCUCCUGUCAAAACGAGUGGCCUCUACCGCUGGUCAGAGGCUCUCUAGGUGUCAAAACGAGUGGCUUCUACCUCUGACCAGAGGCUCUCUAGGUGUCAAAACGAGUGGCCUCUACCUCUGACCAGAGGCUCUCUAGGUGUCAAAAUGAGUGGCCUCUACCUCUGACCAGAGACUCUCUAGAAUAAUACACAUCAAUACCUAGUACAUAUCCCCAUCACCAUGAUACCUAGUACAUAGCACUAUACCAAUGAUACCUGGUACUUAUCCCCAUCACAACGAUUCCUAGUACUUAUCCCCAUCACAACGAUUCCUAGUACUUAUCCCCAUCACAACGAUACCUAGUACUUAUCCCCAUCACAACGAUUCCUAGUACUUAUCCCCAUCACAACGAUUCCUAGUACUUAUCCCCAUCACAACGAUUCC